CAUUAAUCACAGGUGUGUUUGCUUGACUCCCAGGCCUGCUGUGACGUCAUCACAUCGCCAACAGCUUGGUUAUUGGGGGGCAACAGGUGUGUUCUCAGGAGUGUCCAUGGUUGAAGCAGGACAGUCCUUGAAGGACGUCAGACUCACGUGCUGCUUUCCAUUUCCGCGACACUUCGCAUCCCACGCGAGCCAUCUGAGGCGGCGCCAUGUUUCCUGUCCACAACAGCAAGUAAGACGAGUUUAAUUUGAACUUUUUACGUGUCAAGUCGGAUGAAGUGUUGCUCCCCAACUCAAGCACCUGUCUGUGAAUGAACGGGUCGGCGUACGCGGUUGUCAUGGUUACUUGUCAAGUUGAAAUGGGUUGGGGGAACGUAGAAGGAAGUUGGGUUGGGUUAUUUUCCAAGUAAAACUACAACAUUCCUCUCUGGGUCGAAAUGAAGCCACGUUUCAUGCAUGUUAUUAUUAUUGUUAUUAUUACUGAGUGGGACAAUGACUAUAAUUUGACUUAUUGAUGUAUUUGGUGACGCUUUCAGGAAGUGACUAUUUUUUGGUAAACUUUUAUUUUGAAACUGACUUCCGGAAGUGUAACAGCCAGUAUAAAAGUUUUAGCUAUACUCAAUAAUGUUUGUUGCUUCGAAGGAAUUUCAAUCUGCGCUUAGGCGUUAUAUUAACACACUAAUGCGCCAUAAAGUGGUCCUCUAAGACCCCUCCUCCUGGGUUAGUCUCCUAGAAACAAAUCCCCUUUGUCCUCUCCCGGAUCUAUAUCCUGUUCUUUAUCACCUAAACAUACAUUACCUUUCACUAUUCUCUUUGAGCACUCAACCAUGACUUCAUCAUUUGACCAGCAGAGGGCGCCUGAGUACCAACGCAAUGCUCGAGCGGUCUACUUUCGCCCACAAAACGCAACUCAUGAGGGAAGUAGUAAGCAGUGUAACUCAAAUUGUAAUUAGUGCGCAGUAUUUACAUGUUGAAUAUGAAUUAACUAUUAGAGUGGAAUCUAUGUUAAGAAUAGGACCUCAUUGAAAUGUCGAGCUUCCGUUUUGGUUGCUUCUUCGUGCUCAAGUGAUGC